rnacentral:rRNA from 1 species
CCCGGAAGAAACGUACCGGUAUUAACUACCGCAUACCGCCCGUACGGGGAAAGCCGGGGAUCUUCGGACCUGGCGCUAGUAGAUGAGCCCGCGUGAGAUUAGCUUGUUGGUGGGGUAAUGGCCUACCAAGGCAACGAUCUCUAGCUGGUCUGAGAGGACGAUCAGCCACACUGGGACUGAGACACGGCCCAGACUCCUACGGGAGGCAGCAGUGGGGAAUAUUGGACAAUGGGCGAAAGCCUGAUCCAGCAAUGCCGCGUGUGUGAAGAAGGCCUGAGGGUUGUAAAGCACUUUCAAUCGUGAAGAAAAGUUGCAGGCUAAUACCCUGUGACCUUGACGUUAACGAUACAAGAAGCACCGGCUAACUCCGUG